UGAGGCUCUGAACUCCUCACCCUCCAGAAUUAGAUUUCCCUCUUAAGGAAAGAAAAAAGAAAAAGAAAAAAAAGAAGCUGCGGGCACUUUUGUUGCACAAGUGUCACCUUUUGAUGGAGUCGGUAACGCGGAGCAAUAAUCAGCUGACAGGGGGGGAUAAGCCUCGGCUGCUGUGUGUAGAGGCGAAUACGCAAGUCUGCAGCCUCAAUACACAUCCACACAAUCAACAUGUGAACACAGGAUGACCUGAAGAGAGGAGGCUUCAGCUGGGGAAAUGUUCAUUUGGCUGAAACGGCGCACAGGACUGCAGACCUUCUUUUCCCCCUCAGCCUCUCCUCUCCUCUUCUCUCCAGUCUGCACAAGGGCCAGUCGCUGCUCGUCUCCAUCCUGCCAGCAGCAGCUUGUGGUUACCAGUUUGUAACUCACAACAACCAACUCAUCUAUCAACUUACAAGCUCUGCCUGUUCAGUCACUGCAAGUCACCCUGGUGUUGGCUGAAGUGUCAAAUGUUUACACCUUGUAAAAAUGUUUCUUUGGAUUGCUCUCUUAUUAAAGCCAGAUGUUGCUCACUCGUCCCGUUUUCCCUGGUGCAAAUGUAAAGUGAGGUUGAGUUUCUCCCAUUCACUUUGCUGUCUGUGCAAAAAUCCCAGUGUUCAACAGUAAUGCAUGGAUUUAUUUUUAUGUUGAUGAGCAGCUGUUUUCAAACAAGCAACAAUUACACACAGAGGUAAAUUACACAAACAUGCCCAUGUCCACGUUGUUUAAAUUAAUGACCUAAAUAUUGAUUUCUCCUUGUGUUACUGUUGAUUUAAUCCGUGCGCGUUUUCCAUUUGUGUGCGACGUGUUAUUGUUUUAUGGCAACCACUGUUAUUGUCAAGUUAGAACUGAAUUAUUUUCACAUUUUUCCGUUAUGUUUUAGAUACACUGAAAUGAGUGCCAUUAAUUAUUCUUUUCAUUUAAUUAGGUUGUAUUUAAAGAAGCAAAUCUAUAAAAAUACCAAAACAAUUAGUUCAUAACUAUCAUUCUUUUGUAGUGUCAGCACUAGGAUGCAGGAUGUUGAUGCAAUCAGGGAAACAAUUUGACAUUUUGGAAAAUGCACUUGAGUUAGAUGAGAGGCUUGAUACCACUUCUCUUGUCAGCUUAGCUUAGCACAAAGACUGGACACAAUCACUACACUUGUAGUGAUUGGUUGCAAACAAAACCAUACAAAUAUAUAUUUUUUCUAUAUCUAGCUAUAAAAAGUAAAAAAAAAUGCUGGUAUUGUUUGGCUGGGGAGUUUCCCAUACUACUUGGCACUUGGUUAUUCAGGUCAAUAAUCAUCAAACGAUACCUGUAUAUGAUUGUUUUUAAUAUUACUCGUACAGACCCGAGAGCAUUUAUUUUCUCAUCUAACUUUUGUCAAGAAAGAGAAUGGCCGUUUUCCAAAAUGUUGAACCACUCCUUUAAAUAAUACCUGGUUUAUAGUCUAAAUACAAUACAUAAUCCACGCACCAUCACCAUCUUUUAGUUUCUGAUCCCGAGGAGGGAUCAUCCCGGCACUGAUGACUCACACAAGACAAACAUUUCCAGGAUUGUUUUUCCUGUCUUACUUCUUACUGUGUAUACUUGAAUAUGUGUACAAUGAGAUGACAAAUAACCUCCAUAAAUGAACAAAACAAACUGUGAAAAUAAGCAAAAAGCAAAAACACUCCAACUGGUGUACCUUGUGGCUCCACUCAGCCAGCUCUCUCCCAGCGUACAGUGUUUCAAACCCAGCGAGAACAGUCGGUGGUGACUUAUUGGAUCCCACCCAGCAGUGACUUAUACGCUCAACCUAUAUGUCACAGAUGGUAGGAUUUCAGUGUAGUUGAUAUAGAAAAUCCACCGAAGAGCAUUGAUCUUCCUGCGAUCUGCUCUCUCUGCCUGAUCGCCACAGGAUCCGAACAUCUGCAGAGACCUGUAGGGGAGCGGAGCCACGGGGAACCUCAGUCUACCUUUAACGGUUAAUAGUUGAUGUAAUACUAAGUAACAUUUCCAAGCCAGCUGAUUACAUUUUUACAGUUGUUGCUCUAAACAUUCUGUGUCUAAAACAACUAUUGAGAAAUCUUUAAAGCAGAAGAAAAGCGGGGCAGUUAGUAUGACUGGCACUACCCAGCGUGUUUGCACAGAAUAAAGACAAGAAUGCCACCUGCAGUAACUGUAACAACGGAAAAGCCGAGGGAACUCUGGAUAGACAGAGUUCAAUACAACAACUGUAAUAACCAAAGGCGUUGCCAAAAUGAAAAGCAAGAACCUUGCAGAUAACCUCCUUAAGGAUAAAGUUACACACGGCCUAGAGUCAGAUUUCACUAUGUGAAGUGCCUUCAGAUUCUUUCAACAGCAAACGCAACUACACAUCAACUGAUAACGCCACAACCUCAGUGCCUGCGUGCUAUUUUUAAGUACCUGCAGUGAAAAGCUCACGUCACACGCCAUCACUGCUUAUGCUACUCAUGAUAAAUGGUAACUUUAAUUUGAUAAAUAAAAUAAAAAAGUCUUUCAUCAUCAUAAGUCUGCUCAGGAACAAGAUUCAGACCAGGCAGGGAUAGCCGUACUCAAGAUAAGUAAAUUCUCUGUGCAGUUAUCGACUGAUCUUGUUCCUGUUCAAGCAAUGUCCAGUCCACUGUUGUAUCUGUGUGUGGCUAUACCCUGAUGAUAAUGAUUAGCACGUGAAUAAAGAACGUCAUUUAUGUGUUAACCAUUGUUCUGCUGUCUCGAUAUCUCAAAAACAUCUCAACCGACAGACAAACGACUGACUUUGUCCGUGAUCCACAUCUCAAAUUUACAAUGCUGGAGAAUCUAUUUGUAUAUCAUAUUUUAAGAUAAAGCCAUUAACGUGCAUAGAGAUGAAUUAAAGUAGAAGAAAAUAGGGAAGCCAUUUAUCUGUUCAGCUUCGGGUGCAGGUUUGCAAUCUCCAAGUGUCGUCUAGUUAAAAUACUGCGCUGCAGUAACAGUUAAAAGACGACCUUCUUGGUCAUCGUUUUCCUUUGAUUUGCUGGACUGCUGGCCAGCGAUCUUCUGUUAAAUUGCACUAGCAGCCUGCCAGAACAAGUGCAUAAAGCCUGCUAGCCCCUUCUUUGUGUGUGUGUGUGUGUGUAUCUCUCUCAGACAGUUUUAAUCUCUAGCAAGACAGUCACGUCCAGAAUUGUCGUCUGCCGUGUAAACUCUGGUGGAAAAGCGACUCGCCGCCUGUGCCUCCAGUCUCCACAGCUCUCCUUCAUUACUGCGCACAGUGGAAGAUCCAGAGCUCCCGGGGUGGUAAUCCCUGCUGGAAGGCGUCACCAUAUACUGUCAUUAAUGAAACGGAAGACACACACAUAUGACCUACACACACACACAUUUACCCACAGCCAGGAUUGGAUGAAAGAUGAAUGGUUGCAGCAGCAGCACCUUGUAGACUACAGCUGAAGGUUUAGAUCUCUCAGCAGGAGAUGGUACGGUGGCUCAGAUGUAUCCCUUGUAGUCACUUAUAGGCAUGAACCAUCUUAUUUGCUGCAUGUUGUCAUUUAUAUACUGUUGUGAGGUGUAAUGCUGUUUGCUGAGUUCUGUGUUUUAUAUCUAGUUAUGUAUGCGUUUGUAUUUCUUCCUCCUACAGAAAGGGAUUUCAAGCAUAACUCACAGGAAAGACAAAGAUGAUCAUGAGCAGUAAUAUGUUUUGUUUUUUUCUGCUUCUCGUGAAUGGUCUAAUGCUGUUAUUACUGUUAUGUUUGUACAUUUUAAAUCACAUUAUGUAACUUUUAUUACCAUAAAAUAACAGAUUUGAAAUCAUUUUGCAAUCAGGUGAAUGUUGUCUCUGCACUCUUGUUCUCGCACUAUGUAACCUUGUGGUCCAGGCACGAUCACCCACAAGAAGUAUGUAACACCUUACCACAACACUUUACCACCAACUAUUUCACUGAUUUCUGUAAAACUGAAUCAUAU